rnacentral:rRNA from 1 species
UUAGGUGGUUAUAGCGUUGGGGAUCCACCUCUUACCAUUCCGAACAGAGAAGUUAAGCCCAAUAGCGCCGAUGGUACUUGUACGCAGGGAGAGUAGGUAGCCGCCGUCU